AUGGCUCCUUCCUUACAGAAGAUCAUACUUGCCAGCAUACAACCCAAGCUCCACAUAUCUGACUUAUGUACAAUUGUACAUCUUAUAGCCUACAGUAGCUCAAGACCUUUGAAGUAUCAGGAAGUAAUUUGGACAUUAUAACCUUAAUCAGGAUGGUAAAACUCAGCCAAACCCCAACGUAUUAGCUACAGCUUUCUGGGCUCAUGACCAGUCAUGAUAUUAUGGAACUUCAUGUCUCUGUGCCUAAUUCCUACGCUGUGAAGUGGAGUAUCAUACUCUAGGACUUUCAGAAUCUCACACAUGUAAAAUCAAGAAUCAGUCUGUUAACAUCUGGUACAAUUGCUUGAAGCGUGUGCUGUUCAUGUGUUCAAAAACAGAGGCCCAGGGUCUUUUACAACACCUGUCAGUGUAAUGAUGUUGGGAUUGACUCAUAAAUACUCCAAAAUUUUUAUUGCAUGCUUGAUUUUCUUUGUCUUUAUUGGAUUAAGAAUUUUAACAACUUUUUCAUUAAUGUGUAAUAUUGAUGUUGGCAUGGACCCAACAUGUCAGACAGGGUGGCCAACAAAGCUGGACUUGACGUUUGCGUUCAGAAGCCUCUGGGGGGCAAGACCUCAUUUCAACAUGUUUUCUUCACUCUGUGGUGGAAGCGGCAGUGGUGU
rnacentral:lncRNA from 1 species